rnacentral:tRNA from 1 species
GGACAGGUGGCCGAGUGGUUGAAGGCGCACGCCUGGAAAGCGUGUAUACGUCAAUAGCGUAUCGGGGGUUCGAAUCCCCCCUUGUCCGCCA